rnacentral:rRNA from 4 species
UACGGGGGGAGCAAGCGUUGUUCGGAUUUACUGGGCGUAAAGGGCGCGUAGGCGGCCUCCGCAAGUCAAUUGUGAAAUCUCCGGGCUUAACUCGGAAAGGUCAACUGAUACUGCGGGGCUAGAGUGCGGAAGGGGCAACUGGAAUUCUUGGUGUAGCGGUGAAAUGCGUAGAUAUCAAGAGGAACACCUGCGGCGAAGGCGGGUUGCUGGGCCGACACUGACGCUGAGGCGCGAAAGCUAGGGGAGCGAACGGG